rnacentral:misc_RNA from 1 species
GUGAAUCAUCGAAUCUUUGAACGCACCUUGCGCUCCUUGGUAUUCUGAGGAGCAUGCCUGUUUGAGUGUCAUUUAAUUCUCAAACUUUACCUAGUUUGCAAAAACUAGAUCAGGUUUGGAGUCUGGAAGUUGCUGGCUUUUUUUUAAGCUAGCUCUUCUAAAAUAUAUUAGCAGAAUUAUUGCUACUCAAUAUGGUAUGAUAAUUAUCUAUACCGUUGAAAGUAAGCUUUCUGAUUUUGCUUCUAAUUGUCUACCAAGACAACCUUGAUACCUUUGACCUCAAAUCAGGUAGGACUACCC